rnacentral:lncRNA from 1 species
AUGAAAAUCUGCUAAAGUUCCUCUGGUUUCCUUCAGUGCAGAAGCCGGUUUGCCUUCUCGCCUUGCAAUUAGUUCAACAUUUUCAAUCUAUGAUUUAAGUUUGUAUCUCUCUGGAGCUUUCUACACUUUGGUAUUCUAUGAUGUAGAAAUUGUAGGCGGAUGUUGACUGUUGUGCUUGAAAGGCCAGAACAUUAUGAACAGGAAAAGUUAUUAAUUGACCAAAUAAAAUAUUUUUCAAAUCUCUUUUUGUUCUGUCAUGUUCAUUCUGUAGUCUUUGAGUGAAUAAUUUAUUUCAUUUCGCAAACAAGCAAUAUUGGCCAGCACAAUAUUGUAGACUUGUUAUUAAUUAAUUGUUAAGUUAUUUUUCUUGUUAAUGGAACAUUUUUUUUUCAAUAUAACUCACGAUAUGUGUGUAUGUGUUUUUUUCGUUUGGCUUAAUUAUAAAUUUAUUGUGUGAAUUUUAGAAAACUUUCUAGUCUCGAAAAAAAAACAUUUGCAAUUAAGUGAUUUAUUGUGUGAAUUUUAGAAAACUUUCUAGUCUCGAAAAAAAAACAUUUGCAAUUAAGUGACGUAACAGAUAAACUUAUUAAAAGCCACUAACUAGAAGAACCUCUAUACAAAUGUAACAAAUAGAAUAACCUAACAUAGCAAACGCCCAAACAAACUAAGUCAACAAAUAAAUCAGAUUAAAAUUGGAAAAAAAAAUAAGAAGAAGAACAAAGUACAGGUAGUCCGAUAUAUAAGACUGCACUGAUAUUACUGGUCUGAAGAUAAUAUAAAUUGAAAGAAGAAGAGAUUACCAAGAGAGAAAAGAGGGAGUGGAUCUAAGAAAGGAAUGACUUUGUUUUUGUCGUUUGGCGCUCUUUCGGCAUCGAAGGGAAGCCAAAUGGCUUAGGACAUUCCAACAUACUUUAUGAAAUCUCCCUAGUCAUCAUUGUCGUUGCUUGAAGCCGAAUCUCGGCCAUUGACAAAAGUGAUAUUGGAAUGGACUGUCGGAUUCGAUGGCGCGACCCAAAACUGAUUGCAAAGAUUGGUAUAAGAGGAAGGGCGAGGAUGUCCCUGACUCAGCUAGUGCAAUAAAACUCGCCAGCGGAGGCGGUGGUGGCCGGAGUCACGAACUGCCCUCCUCUUACUUGUCCUUUCGCGCAAUAGAGGGUCAAAGGAAGAAUCACUUUUGGGUCACGAAAAGUGACCAAAGGUGAUGGUCGCUUAUUGCUUCGCCGGUGAUGGUGGCGCUAGUAACCGGGACCAAGCUGGGGUUCAUGGAGAAAGAAGAACGAAGAGGAUUGUAGAUGAUUUUUUGUUCGGUUCGUAUUAAUUAAGCAAUAUCAGUUUGAUGUACUUCACUGCUGGGCAUGUCAAAUCCGACGUAUCAAUCUAUUUGACUAACGGCAAUUUUAACAAUUAGUAUGUCCCACGUGUCCUGCUCAUUUUUUCGGUAAACCACG